UCUCCGUAGGUGAACCUGCGGAGGGAUCAUUACAGAGUUCAUGCCCUACCGGGUAGAUCUCCCACCCGAUGUUAUUAUUACUUUGUUGCUUUGGCGGGCCGUUAGGCUCCGGCCCGACUACCGGCCCCGGCUGGUAAGCGCCCGCCAGAGGACCCAAAACCCUGAAUAUUAGUGUCGUCUGAGUACUAUAUAAUAGUUAAAACUUUCAACAACGGAUCUCUUGGUUCUG
rnacentral:misc_RNA from 1 species